UGCAAGUCGAACGGGUAACAGGCCCUUCGGGGUGCUGACGAGUGGCGGACGGGUGAGUAACGCGUAGGAAUUUGCCCAGUAGUGGGGGACAACUUGGGGAAACCCAAGCUAAUACCGCAUACGCCCUACGGGGGAAAGCGGGGGCUCUUCGGACCUCGCGCUAUUGGAUGAGCCUGCGUCGGAUUAGCUAGUUGGUAGGGUAAAGGCCUACCAAGGCGACGAUCCGUAGCUGGUUUGAGAGAACGAUCAGCCACACUGGGACUGAGACACGGCCCAGACUCCUACGGGAGGCAGCAGUGGGGAAUAUUGCACAAUGGGGGCAACCCUGAUGCAGCAAUGCCGCGUGUGUGAAGAAGGCCUGCGGGUUGUAAAGCACUUUCAAUUGGGAAGAAAAGCUCAGGGCUAAUACCCCUGAUUCUUGACGUUACCUUUAGAAGAAGCACCGGCUAACUCCGUGCCAGCAGCCGCGGUAAUACGGAGGGUGCGAGCGUUAAUCGGAAUUACUGGGCGUAAAGCGCGCGUAGGCGGUUUGUUAAGUCAGAUGUGAAAGCCCCGGGCUCAACCUGGGAACUGCAUUUGAUACUGGCAGGCUAGAGUAUGGUAGAGGGAAGUGGAAUUCCGGGUGUAGCGGUGAAAUGCGUAGAUAUCCGGAAGAACACCGGGUGGCGAAGGCGGCUUCCUGGACCAAUACUGACGCUGAGGUGCGAAAGCGUGGGGAGCAA
rnacentral:rRNA from 1 species